rnacentral:misc_RNA from 1 species
GAAAUGCGAUACGUAGUGUGAAUUGCAGAAUUCCGUGAACCAUCGAAUCUUUGAACGCAUAUUGCGCUCGACUCCUCGGAGAAGAGCAUGUCUGCCUCAGCGUCGGUUUACACCCUCACCCCUCUUCCUUAACAGGAAGCUUGUCGUGCUUGCUCAAGCCGGCAUCAGGGGUGGAUCUGGCCCUCCCAAUCGGACUCACCUCCGAUUGGGUUGGCUGAAGCACAGAGGCUUAAACUGGGACCCAAUUCGGGCUCAACUGGAUAGGUAGCAACACCCUCGGGUGCCUACACGAAGUUGUGUCUGAGGACCUGGUUAGGAGCCAAGCAGGAAACGUGUCUCUGACGCGUAUCUCUGUAUUCGACCUGAGCUCAGGCAAGGCUACCCGCUGAACUUAA